rnacentral:rRNA from 1 species
GUGCCAGCAGCCGCGGUAAUACGUAGGUGGCAAGCGUUGUCCGGAAUUAUUGGGCGUAAAGCGCGCGCAGGCGGUCCUUUAAGUCUGAUGUGAAAGCCCACGGCUCAACCGUGGAGGGUCAUUGGAAACUGGGGGACUUGAGUGCAGAAGAGAAGAGCGGAAUUCCACGUGUAGCGGUGAAAUGCGUAGAGAUGUGGAGGAACACCAGUGGCGAAGGCGGCUCUUUGGUCUGUAACUGACGCUGAGGCGCGAAAGCGUGGGGAGCAAACAGGAUUAGAUACCCUGGUAGUCCACGCCGUAAACGAUGAGUGCUAAGUGUUAGAGGGUUUCCGCCCUUUAGUGCUGAAGUUAACGCAUUAAGCACUCCGCCUGGGGAGUACGGUCACAAGACU